UAGGGAAUCUUCGGCAAUGGACGAAAGUCUGACCGAGCAACGCCGCGUGAGUGAAGAAGGUUUUCGGAUCGUAAAACUCUGUUGUUAGAGAAGAACAAGGACGUUAGUAACUGAACGUCCCCUGACGGUAUCUAACCAGAAAGCCACGGCUAACUACGUGCCAGCAGCCGCGGUAAUACGUAGGUGGCAAGCGUUGUCCGGAUUUAUUGGGCGUAAAGCGAGCGCAGGCGGUUUCUUAAGUCUGAUGUGAAAGCCCCCGGCUAAACCGGGGAGGGUCAUUGGAAACUGGGCGACUUGAGUGCAGAAGAGGAGAGUGGAAUUCCAUGUGUAGCGGUGAAAUGCGUAGAUCUAUGGAGGAACACCAGUGGCGAAGGCGGCUCUCUGGUCUGUAACUCACGCUGAGGCUCGAAAGCGUGGGGAGCAAACAGG
rnacentral:rRNA from 1 species